CAUUUAAUGAUCUAAAAAGAACGACAUCAUACCUUCCGCGGUUGUUGAAUUGAUUAUUGAAGCCUCUUGUUGAAGUGGUUCCCCUCUGGGAAGUGAUGGAUGAACCCGGCUGAUGGUUCCGGAAGUUGAACGUGCCGCCAUUGCUCACGUAGUUUCCGUGCUGGCCACCACGGAAUGAUCUACCACUGCUAGAUCGGUUUAAGGGCCCGCUCAUGUGGCCAAUAGAAUUCAGGGCUGCUUCGUCAUUUGCUGCCUUAACCAUCCAACUUGAUCUCAGCCAACGCGACGAAACGGUAGGACAAAUGUGACCAUCAAUUCGUUGCACCGUUUCGUUGCGUCUUCUAGACACCGCUACGCGUGCUGCCCUCAAUGGCACAAUUUUAAUUCUUUCGCUCUGUCAACAGCAGACGUUUUGGGCGCGAAAAAUCAUGUAAACAGUAUUUUGUGGUAUAUUUGUGGAAAAGAAAUGGGGAAACCUAAUAGAAAUCGAGAUUCAUUGAAGUCCAUUAAUAAAAAAUUAAGAAAGGAAAGAAGUGCGGUUUUAAGAAGACGCAACUUGUCUGAAGUGGGUAGAGGAAACGGUUGCAAAUUGAUGAGCGAAGCGAAAAAACGGAGAAAUUAUCAUUCAGAUCAAAGAUUUACAGGGCACUCCUUCUUUGAAUCUUCCUGUAAGCCCCACUGCUGCUUCCCCCAUUCCUUCAAGCUGUCCUCCGCUAAAUGCUGAUGAUACUUGGAUUGUCAUCUUUAGGAAAGAGAUCGAUGGGACCACUGUUAAGAUGAAAUUUCCAAAAUUCCAUGAAAAUCGAGUUGGUGGGCUAAUCACUAUCAACGGAGAAAAGUACUUAUGUGCCGCCAUUCAACAAAAGGGUUCUCAGCAAACUGCAUGCUAGAACUUACGUGACCCUAUAUUAUUUCGUCAACUUUUCUAAAUUCAGAUAAAAUUUUUAAAAUUCUACAAAAUUCGAUUCUGCUGUGAAUGAGCCUGCGUACUCCAAAAAAGAUCAUUCCUUUUAUCAAGUCUUCUAUAAUACAGAUAAAUUUCUCAAAAUUACACAAAGAUUGAAGAAAUGGAAUAUUCACUAAAACUAGAAAAAUAUUAAGCGGAUGUCCAAAGGAAAGGUCCACAAUGCACAACAAAAGAAA